GGGCCCGCACAAGCGGUGGAGCAUGUGGUUUAAUUCGAUGCAACGCGAAGAACCUUACCUACCCUUGACAUCCUCGGAAUCUGCCGGAGACGGCGGAGUGCCUUCGGGAACCGAGUGACAGGUGCUGCAUGGCUGUCGUCAGCUCGUGUUGUGAAAUGUUGGGUUAAGUCCCGUAACGAGCGCAACCCCUGUCCCUAUUUGCCAGCGAUUCGGUCGGGAACUCUAGGGAGACUGCCGGUGACAAACCGGAGGAAGGUGGGGACGACGUCAAGUCAUCAUGGCCCUUACGGGUAGGGCUACACACGUGCUACAAUGGCAGGUACAAAGGGUUGCAAGACGGCGACGUGGAGCUAAUCCCAUAAAGCCUGCCUCAGUCCGGAUCGGAGUCUGCAACUCGACUCCGUGAAGUCGGAAUCGCUAGUAAUCG
rnacentral:rRNA from 1 species